rnacentral:lncRNA from 1 species
CUUUGAUAUCGUCUUCUCCAGACGACCGCAAGCAAACUUUCUCCUUCCUCUCAGCAAAUCAGCAACCACCGGCUAGCCAAAACUAGAGCAGCAACAGUGAGGAAGAGUUUGUUUUUUGUUGUUCUCCUCGUUCUCUGGUUGUCGUCGAAAGACAGCGGCGUUGAAGUUGGUGUUCGAGUUCCAAAAUCCGUUCGUGGCCGGAAACUGCCAGCGAGGUUCCCAGAAAAUAGCCGGCUCAAAGAAGCAACCGUAUCAGCAAAAACGUAUCAGCUGUGGCUGCUAAAGAAAAAAUUUAAUCCGCAAGGUCUGCGUAUUGCAGCCUUACUAAAAUUCGUCUGCGUAUGAAAUUAUACAAAAAUAUGUUAUGAGAACCUAUGUUCGAUUUUAUUUUCAAUUCUUUUUAGUUGGCCAUUAAUCCUGUUGGCCGUUCCUAUUUACUAGUACCAUGAAUAUGGUCUAAAACAUUGGUUUGAUAUAUUGAUUUGAUAUUAUGUUAGUUGGGGUUCAUUAGUUUAAAAAUUGGUUCUUGGGUUUGGUUAAUACUACGAGGAG